UGGUGGAGUGAUUUGUCUGGUUAAUUCCGUUAACGAACGAGACGUGUGUUGUUAGUUUGUGUUUGCUGUCAUUUGACAGUAAUUCAUACCUAACGAGACUAUUAGUGACUAACUAAUUGAAGUUACACGCAAUAACA
rnacentral:rRNA from 1 species